UACGGAGGAUCCAAGCGUUAUCCGGAAUUACUGGGCGUAAAGAGUUGCGUAGGUGGCAUUGUAAGUCUGUAGUGAAAGCGUGGGGCUCAACCCCAUACACAUUAUGGAAACUGCAAAGCUAGAGGACAAGAGAGGUUAUUGGAAUUCCUAGUGUAGGAGUGAAAUCCGUAGAUAUUAGGAGGAACACCGAUGGCGUAGGCAGAUAACUGGCUUGUUCCUGACACUAAGGCACGAAAGCGUGGGUAGCAAACGGG
rnacentral:rRNA from 1 species